rnacentral:rRNA from 1 species
UACGGAGGGAGCUAGCGUUGUUCGGAAUUACUGGGCGUAAAGCGCACGUAGGCGGCUUUUUUAAGUCAGGGGUGAAAUCCCGGGGCUCAACCCCGGAACUGCCCUUGAAACUGGAGAGCUAGAAUCUUGGAGAGGCGAGUGGAAUUCCGAGUGUAGAGGUGAAAAUUCGUAGAUAUUCGGAAGAACACCAGUGGCGAAGGCGACUCGCUGGACAAGUAUUGACGCUGAGGUGCGAAAAGCGUGGGGGAGCAAAACAGG